rnacentral:rRNA from 1 species
CGUUGGUGACCAGCGGAGGGAUCAUUACAGAGUUGCAAAACUCCCAACCCUUUGUGAACGAACCUACCAGUUGCUUCGGCGGCAGACUCCUCUGGGGCCUAGCCUUUGCGGGUACCCCGCCGGAGUCCUACAAACUCUUGAUUUUUUGGCAUCUCUGAGUAGCUUAUAAAUAAGUUAAAACUUUCAACAACGGAUCUCUUGGUUCUGGCAUCGAUGAAGAACGCAGCGAAAUGCGAUAAGUAAUGUGAAUUGCAGAAUUCAGUGAAUCAUCGAAUCUUUGAACGCACAUUGCGCCCGCUAGUAUUCUGGCGGGCAUGCCUGUUCGAGCGUCAUUUCAACCAUCAAGCCCUAGGCUUGUGUUGGGGCCCUGCGGCCGUCCGCAGCCCCCUAAAAACAGUGGCGGGCUCGCUAUAUACCGAGUGCAGUAGUUUACUCUUCGCUCAGGACAUGUAGCGGGUUCUUGCCGUAAAACCCCCAUUUUUAAGGUUGACCUCGGAUCAGGUAGGAAUACCCGCUGAACUUAAGCAUAUCAAUAAGCGGAGGAAAAGAAACCAACAGGGAUUGCCCCAGUAACGGCGAGUGAAGCGGCAACAGCUCAAAUUUGAAAUCUGGCUCCGGCCCGAGUUGUAAUUUGCAGAGGAAGCUUCUGGUGAUAUACUGUCUAAGUCCCCUGGAACGGGGCGCCACAGUGGGUGAGAGCCCCAUAUGACAGAUGUAGAUCCUGUGUGAAGCUUCUUCGACGAGUCGAGUAGUUUGGGAAUGCUGCUCUAAAUGGGAGGUAAAUUCUUUCUAAAGCUAAA